UGGGGAAUUUUGGACAAUGGGCGAAAGCCUGAUCCAGCAAUGCCGCGUGUGUGAAGAAGGCCUUCGGGUUGUAAAGCACUUUUGUCCGGAAAGAAAUCCUUGGCUCUAAUACAGUCGGGGGAUGACGGUACCGGAAGAAUAAGCACCGGCUAACUACGUGCCAGCAGCCGCGGUAAUACGUAGGGUGCAAGCGUUAAUCGGAAUUACUGGGCGUAAAGCGUGCGCAGGCGGUUUGCUAAGACCGAUGUGAAAUCCCCGGGCUCAACCUGGGAACUGCAUUGGUGACUGGCAGGCUAGAGUAUGGCAGAGGGGGGUAGAAUUCCACGUGUAGCAGUGAAAUGCGUAGAGAUGUGGAGGAAUACCGAUGGCGAAGGCAGCCCCCUGGGCCAAUACUGACGCUCAUGCACGAAAGCGUGGGGAGCAAACAGGAUUAGAUACCCUGGUAGUCCAGCGCCCUAAACGAUGUCAACUAGUUGUUGGGGACUUCAUUUCCUUAGUAACGUAGCUAACGCGUGAAGUUGACCGCCUGGGGAGUACGGUCGCAAGAUU
rnacentral:rRNA from 1 species